UACGGAGGAUCCGAGCGUUAUCCGGAAUUAUUGGGUUUAAAGGGUGCGUAGGCGGCCACUUAAGUCAGCGGUGAAAUUUUGCAGCUUAACUGUAACAGUGCCGUUGAUACUGGGGAGCUAGGAUUUGGUUGCUGUGGGUGGAAUGUGUGGUGUAGCGGUGAAAUGCUUAGAGAUCACACAGAAUAUCGAUUGCGAAGGCAGCUCACAAAGCCAAGAUUGACGCUGAGGCACGAAAGUGUGGGGAGUCAAACAGGAUUA
rnacentral:rRNA from 1 species